GCCGAGAAGCCUUUCGUCAUUCUCUGAGGAAAAAAACGCUUCUCUUCUUCUUCGACGUUAGCCCCUCCGCUCCGCUCGCCGCCACCUCGGAGCGCUGCGCCACGCCGGGCCACCCCACCCUCCCCUUCCUUUCCCUCUCCCUCUCUUACACCGCGCAGCCGCACCGUGCAGGCCCGAGCGCGGUUGGUUUCCACCGCGGCGACGCACUGGACGCCCACCGGCAUGGGCGGCGCGACGCACAGGCACGGCCACCGGCGUUCCCUCCCCCACUCCCGCCUGCACUUCGUCUCUCUCCUGACGACCGCAGCCACGUGCGCUCCGAGGAACCCUAGGUGCCUGCAGAUCCGACUGGUGGAGGAUGCCUAGGGACUUCAGAGAUCCAACAAUGAGCUCUAGAAAAAAUAAAAUAUCUAAGGAUGAAUAAGAUGACGUGCUGCCUGUAGUGUCUCAUUUUUGGCUGCAGAUGGUUCAAGAUGUUGUUGGUGCUUUGUAGCAAAAGCUCAACUUCACGUCAAGCGCAGGAGCAAAUCGAUAUCGCACAAUCUGUCCAUGUAAGUUCAUGGGCACGGCGAUGACGAAGACUGUGUGCAGAUACUGUGUACCGGCAGAUACUUACUCCUGCAUUGAGCAUGGUUGCCAUUUUGUUCCGCAUGGCGAUGAGGAAGACUGUGUGCAGAUACUGUGUACCGGCAGAUACUCACUCCUGCAUUGAGCAUGGUCUUGGUUCCUGAGCUACCCAUAAAAGGAGAGCGGUUCAACUAAUUUCAGAGAUAGCAUUUGAUACCUUCCGGUACAUCACCACCAGGAGCAACUCAGGGCGAGCACGAGCUGCCAUACUUACAAACUACUAACAUCAUCAACACUGUUGCAUCCAUUUGUGUUUCUAUUAUCCAGAGUUUUUUUGGCUUACAAUCACGAUUACACAUCAGUGACUCACAUAAAUUAAGUCAUCACUAAAACUCAUUGUUGUCUCUUUCUAUUGUUAGACACCUCCACCUGGAUCGGUUCUUCAAAAAAACCUCCACCUGGAUCCAACCCUGAGGAAACACCUACGAAACAGAUGGUGGCCAUCAGUCCUGCUACAACAACUGGAUCCUCAACUUUGGCCCAUAACAAUGUUCCUAAACAUUUGUUCGGGGACACUUCACUUGGGAAUCAGGAUGACAAGAGCUGUGGAGAGGAAGGCCAUAACAGCACCGAGAGCAAUGGCAGAAAACAAAAAACAAAUGUGUGACAUACGUGAAGCCCCUAGGACCAGUGAUUCAAAGCAAACACAUAGAAACAAGACCCCAAAGAGAGCCUAGAGAUACAUUGCAGAUCUACCUAGGAUGAACGACAAGCCAAAAGUGUCUUCUACAUGGUGAUCCAGCCUUUUGUCGACCAGCGACCAGCAUAGACUACACAUUCGUUGCGUCGUAGCUAUGUGUUAUCAAGCAGAUUUUAAAUAGUUGUGGACUGUAUUUCUGCACCUCUAGAUGAAUACCAUGCUUUGUUGUGUGGCCUGUGUUCACACCCGUGUACUGCUCUAGAAUAUUGAACCACCACCUCAUAAAGAUGUCAUAUCCUUUCAAGGCUGCAUAUGUUAUACCAUUGGGUAAACACACACGUGUAUGACAUGUGCAUUGUAUAUGAAUAAAUCUUACUAUGGUCCUUAACCCUCGCGCGAGGGCGCGCGUUUUUCA